GACGAACGCUGGCGGCGUGCUUAACACAUGCAAGUCGAACGGAAAGGCACUGCUUUUGUGGGGUGCUCGAGUGGCGAACGGGUGAGUAACACGUGAGUAACCUGCCCUUGACUUUGGGAUAACUUCAGGAAACUGGGGCUAAUACCGGAUAGGAGCUCCUGCUGCAUGGUGGGGGUUGGAAAGUUUCGGCGGUUGGGGAUGGACUCGCGGCUUAUCAGCUUGUUGGUGGGGUAGUGGCUUACCAAGGCUUUGACGGGUAGCCGGCCUGAGAGGGUGACCGGCCACAUUGGGACUGAGAUACGGCCCAGACUCCUACGGGAGGCAGCAGUGGGGAAUAUUGCACAAUGGGCGGAAGCCUGAUGCAGCAACGCCGCGUGCGGGAUGACGGCCUUCGGGUUGUAAACCGCUUUCGCCUGAGACGAAGCGUGAGUGACGGUAAUGGGUAAAGAAGCACCGGCUAACUACGUG
rnacentral:rRNA from 1 species